GGGAAUAUUGCGCAAUGGUCGAAAGACUGACGCAGCGACGCCGCGUGUGGGAGGAAGCCUUUCGGGGUGUAAACCACUGUCAGACGGGAAGAACACUGCAUGUUCGAACAGGGCAUGCAAUUGACGGUACCCUACGAGGAAGCCCCGGCUAACUCCGUGCCAGCAGCCGCGGUAAUACGGAGGGUGCGAGCGUUAAUCGGAAUUACUGGGCGUAAAGCGCGCGUAGGCGGUUAGUUAAGCUGGAUGGGAAAGCCCAGGGCUCAACCUUGGAACUGCAUUCAGAACUGGCUGGCUAGAGUACGAGAGAGGGUAGUGGAAUUUCCUGUGUAGCGGUGAAAUGCGUAGAUAUAGGAAGGAACAUCAGUGGCGAAGGCGACUGCCUGGCUCGAUACUGACGCUGAGGUGCGAAAGCGUGGGGAGCAAA
rnacentral:rRNA from 1 species